GGCUAUUUCCAGUUCCGGUUUGGAAGGCUGCAGAAAACAUUGAUGAAACUGACUAGGCCGACAGUGUCUCUGCUUAUUCUUUAAAAACUUAAGUUAUCUUUGAUAUAGAAGAGAAGAUAUGCGAGUCCUUCACCAGUUACCUCCCUUACACCUACAUGGUUGCUACACAUCUAGGGCCAUGGCUAACAAAGACGGACUCUCAAUUCUCCAUGGACGAAACCCUGUCAGAAUCGAGGGGAGUUCCAGGUGUCCGGGUCACAGGGACAAGGAAGUGGUUCUCCUUGAUCAGACGUGUGACACUCUGAUAUGUACCAUUUGUUCAACCACUUCUCACAAAGCACACAUAGAUGGUUUUCUUGAAAUAUCUAAAACUAAACAACAACAAAAAAUAAACUUCAGAACUUUGUUCAUGAGACAGACAAGAUUAAAAUACAAAAAAUUAACAAAGAAAUCACAUUUUCAAGGAAAGAACUUUCUACCAAUAAAUCCCAAUACAAAAGCACUUCUGAAAAUAUUGAAAAACAAAGAGACAAAUGUAAAAUGGAAUUAAAUAUUGGUUGGUUGGUUGAUUGACAGGUUUAUCGAGAGAUCCACCCAUGCAGGUUUCGUCUCACUGACGAGAGUUAGAUAAAAUAAUGGAGGAUUAAUAUUAUAUAGCAACAUGUGGCAGGAUGGAGAGGUCAGUCGCAGACCUUCUUCAGAUUCACAUCAGAAACCAGGAGGACAGAUUAGACACUUUAGUGAAACUCUCAUCAGAGUGUAAACACAGACACCUAACAUAGACAUGACAGAGUUUAUUCCAGUCAAGGACAGACAGAGCUACUUUGAGCAGGCCAUGGGGAAACUGUAGAAAACGGUCAGGUGUUACAGUUACACACAGCCACUGUAGAGGCAGAAGGAAUGGGGGCAGUACAGUCCAUCACACAGUGUGGUGUUACAGGUAACAUAGCUGUAGUGAGUAGUCAACAGAUUGGUGAAGACUGGUGAUCCAGACAGCUACAGGCGUCAUAUCAUUGUGUACAACCCAAUAUUUCAGCCUCUGUUCCACUACAGGGAAGAGGGGAUAUAUAUACCGGCACAGCAGGCAGUCACCCCAGGCAAUUUUUCUCCAUUCAAGGUUGUAUAUGACAGUAAGGGUAAUUUUAUUAUUGCUGACAUAGAAAGGAACACAAAAGAACUGAUAAAUGGUGUAGGAAAGUACAUAAAAACGUUUCACACAAACAAAGAAGGACAGGGACCAAUAGGUAUACAGAAGGAUGAUGUGUUGUGGUCACGCUUAGAGUUAGAUACAGGAGAGGCUGGACUCAAACUCCUCAAGUAUUACAGUGACUGAGUAACUAAACAUUGACAAUUCAGACAAAACAACAUAGCUACAUGUAUACAUUUUGACAUAUUCUAAAGCAUACCUAUUUUUUUUAUGGAGAAUCACACUUGUACAUGCAAUAUCAUGACAGAGCUUAAACAGUAGAGGAAAUAAAUAUGUAUGGCCAGACCAGGAUUCAUUCCCAGAACUGGACUGUUACAAAGCAAUCAAUGGAAGGAUGCAAUAUCUUUUUAUUGUUUUCCCUUUUUUUUUCAAACAACACCCAAUUAUAUGUUGAAAUAUUUUGCAAGAAAAUAUUUUGAAUUUGCUCUGAUUCUUCAAUUUGCUUGCAGUUACGAUCCUGUGGAACACAAUGAAUCUCCAUACUAUUUUUUUUUAUUGUUACAUUAUUCAACAUAUGCAUUCAAUCAGAAGAUCAUUUAUAUGAAGUAAAAUCUGUGAAAUAAGUG